UGAGUUCCUACAAAUAAAUUUGUGUAUUCUACAAUCCAAGACAGGUAGGAACCCUUUAAGUCCAACCCUUCCCACUCCCAUCAGACAUGAAACAAUUCCCCAGGGAAAGCUUUGGUUUCUCCAAUUGAGAGAUAUGCAGUUGUUCCUGAUGACAACGUCAAAAGGAUAAAUUUUGCCGAGGGGAAGAUCUGAUUCUAGAAGUAAGGAAUUUGCAGCUUGAUUUUUGAAAUAGGCUCAAAAUUGAGAUCUUGUUGGAAAUUUUUUAUUUUUUUUAUUUUUUGUAAGAGCAUUUAAAUAUCCAAUGUGCUGAUUGGUGAAUUUUAGAUUUUAUUUUAUUAUUUUAUUUUUUUUUUAGGAUUUGGGUGAAUUUUAUAAUUUAAAUAUGCUGUUAUGAACAUGUACAAUUUAAUUAUUCUUUGUAAAAUAUUAAAUUUGAUGGUUUGAUCAAUUUUUAUUUUUA